ACAAUUUGAAGAUUUGGAAUAUUUAUAAGUUUGGUCGGGAGUUGACUUUGAUGAUAUCGGGUUAGGAUUGUGGUUCCGUGAAUUUGAAUAGCUUCAUUAUGUCAUUAGGGAUUUGUGUGCAAAAUUUGAGUUCAUUCAGAUUUGAUUUGAUAAGGUUCGACACGUGUUUUGAAAGUUGAAAGUUCAAAAGUUCAUUAAGUUCAAUUUGAGGUGUGAUUCGUCGUUUAGAUGUUGUUAUGCGUGAUUUGAGGCCUCGAGUAGGUCCUUGUUUUGUUAUGGGACUUAUUGGCAUGUUCAUGCGGGGUCCCGAGGGGCUCAGGUGAGUCUCAGAUAUGAUUCAGAAUGUUUUGUCUCAUGUUGCAUUGCUGAAGAAGUGUUGGUACUGGUAUUUCCGCAUUUUUGGAGGUUUGGACGCAGAUACGAGUCCACAGAUGCGGAUGAUUCAUCAUAAAAGUGGAAGUGGCAGGCAGGGCAUGAAGGUCGCAGGUGCGGGAGCAUGAGCGCACCUGCGCGAUCGCAAGUGCGGUUCUAUAUGCACAGAAGCGCGACCGCAGAAGCGGAGAGAUGAUCGCAGAGGCGGUGGCUGCUGAGUUUGGGCGUGUUCGCAGAAGCGGAGGCCGGGCUGCGUGCGAGUUCGCAGAAGCGAGAAUUUGUUCGCAAAGGCGAAAAUAGCUGGGCAGAAGUUGUAAACUGAGGGUAUUGUUCAUUUUUGCAUUUUGGAGCUAUGGAGCUCGGAUUGAAACGAUUUUUGAGGCGAUUUUUACCACAUGAAUUGGGGUAAGUAUUCUACACUCGGUUCUGAUUAUAUUUCGUGAAUCUAUAUUAGAUUUUGUCAUUUGGAUUAUGAAUUUUAAAGAGAAUUUUGGGUGUUUUGUAUAAAAUUUUAUAGAGUGAAUUUUUGAGUUUUGAACAUCGAUUCGAAGUCGGAUUGGAGUGAAACUAGUAUGGUUGGACUCGUAAUUGAAUGGGUUGUCGGAUUUUUUGAGCUUUUUCGUGUUCCGUAGCGUGGACCCGGGUUUGACUUUUUGGUCAAAUUUGGGCUUUUGAUUAAAUAUUCAACCUUUGUCAUUUGGGUUUGUUUCCUUAGGCAUUAAUUGAUGUUUUUGAGUUGCUUUUGGCUAGCUUCUAGCCGUUCGAAGUUGAUACACGCGGGAUGGCAUUUUUAGAGUGUCGUUUGGUUUGAUCGGUAUUUGUCUUGGCUUAUUUGAGGUAAGUAAUACUUCUAAACUCGAUGCUGAGGGUAUGAACCCCUGAAUAUACGUGUUAUGUGUUUGGUGUUGAGGUGACGCACAUGCUAGGUGACGGGCGUGUGGGCGUGUACCGUAUGAAUUAUGACUCGAUUGAUUUGUGUGGUACUGUAUAGUUAUUUAUCUUGUUUCUAUCCAUGAAAUUCGUACUUGUUAGAGAAAUUGAGUUGUGAUCCAUGUUAGAAAAUCAUGUUUAUGCCAUAUACUUAUACUGUUGGGACCCAUUGAGGUCGUUUCUAAUGUUGAGUUUUUUGCUUAAAUUGCAAUUACAUACUCAGUCAUAAUUAUUUAUUUACAUAUCAUAUCUUAGUCGUUGUUAUCAUUUAUUGUCACAUCAUGUUAUCAUUGUUUGGGCUGAUUGGCAUGAGAUUUGUGAGCCCGUUGAAUUGGAGAGAUUGAUGACUGAGUGAGGCCAAAGGUCUGAUUGUGAGUGAUAUAUAUGGGUUCGGGCUGCACACCGCAACGGAAUUUAUUGAUUCAGGAUGGGAUCGGGCUACAUGCCGCAGCAUGCUAUGAUUGACUUAUAUUAGCACUUGGGCAGGAUCCGCCCCUCUGGAGUCUGACAUACCAGUAGUGAGCGUAGGUACCUACUGAGUGUGAGUGCCGAGUGAUUGGGAGAUGUUGAGUGAUUGAGAGUGUUGAGUGAUUGGGAGGUGCUGAGUGAUUGAGUGUGCUGAGUGAGGUUGAAUACUCCGAGAGCAUGAGCACAUGAGUUUAUCAUUGUGAUGCAUUACAUUUGACAUACAUGCAUGGCAUGUAGGCAUAGAGAUGUAUUUCCUCAUGUUAUACGGUAUUGUGACAUUCAUGACUUCACAUGCACAUUGACAUGUAGGCAUAGAGAUGUACUUUCCUCAUGCUAUCUAAUGAUGAAAUAUCUUAUCUGUUGUUGAAAGUUUUGGGAAAAUCACAUUUUUCUAAUAUAUUCGUAUUUCGGUAAUUUCGGUGAAAGAUUUGGGUUCUUACUGUUAUAUCUGAGAAGCAUGCCUAUUUUCCCUAACUGUGAACGAGUUGAGAAUCAUAUCUUGGAGUAUUACUUGUAAUGUUUUCAUUACAUUGGUACGAGUUGUUCUUGGUUGUUGGUAUUGGACUCUGACCGUUGUCCAAGCUCGUCACUACUUUCAACCUAAAGUUAUGUUUGUUACUUAUUGAGUAUGUGUGGUCGGUUGUACUCAUACUACACUUGUGCACCUUGCGUGCAGAUUUUGGAGCUGAUGUUAUUGUGUAUAGCGGGAGCUGGCAUUGAAGAUGUACAUGCGUUCCGGUUGUAGCUGCCUCUUGUUCGUGUUAGCUUUAGAUUUAUUAAAAUCUAUUUAUGUACAUUUCAAACAGAUGAUGUAUUUCUU
rnacentral:lncRNA from 1 species